UUGAUGGCCGAAAGAGAUUCCUUGAAUGGAAGCCGAAGGUGUAAUCGAUGAAAAUCGAGAAGCUCUCAGGCAAAAGGAUUUCGGUUCUGAU
rnacentral:ncRNA from 2 species